AUUGUGAUCUUCAGAAAAAAGCAACUUGGUGAUAAAAAAAUAUAAAAUUGCAGGGUGCUGCUCCUGUUACAAGUUCCUCUUUUGAUGGCGACAGGGUGGAGGGCUGUUUUAAAGUCUAACCACUCUUUCUUGAGUCUGCUGUUGAAACUGGUCUGAAUUUGGAAAGAACUGGAAAGAAAUUGUAUUCUUGACUGAAGACAAUGAUUCUUGCAAGGAAAAAUCUGGUCAUAAUAAAGAAGUUUCACUACUCAAAUCCCAAUCCAAUGAAGUUGGAACAUAUGGAGCAGAGGGCUAGUGGAAGUUUCAUCUAUAAACAAAUUAAAACCUACAACAUUAUUUUUCUCUGCUAACUUGAUGGUGUUAUAUUGAUAAAAAAAUAUUAUUUGAUAAAAUGGUUUAACUCCUUUUGACUACAUCGAUCUUAAUAGCCACAGUAAUACUUCUGGUCACAACUUUGUGUUCAAGGUAAGAUGGAAUCCCAGUUCUUUAUAAAGAAAGAAGUGCUCAAUCACUUGAGGUAGCAAAUUUUGGUGUGUCAUAUAUUGAUAAUACUAUUGUAGUUAAGUGACUAGGGCAGUCUAGAGAUUGUCUUUCAUACACAGAAUGAAUGGACUCUAUGGAGGAUUAACCAGCUGUUCUCUUCAAUUUC